CCCGACCUACGGGGGGCAGCAGUAGGGAAUCUUCCACAAUGGACGAAAGUCUGAUGGAGCAACGCCGCGUGAGUGAAGAAGGGUUUCGGCUCGUAAAGCUCUGUUGGUAGUGAAGAAAGAUAGAGGGAGUAACUGGCCUUUAUUUGGCGGUAAUUACUUAGAAAGUCACGGCUAACUACGUGCCAGCAGCCGCGGGAAUACGGAAGUGGCCAGCGUUGUCCGGAUUUAUUGGGCGUAAAGCGAGUGCAGGCGGGUCCAUAAG
rnacentral:rRNA from 1 species